AACGAACGCUGGCGGCAUGCCUAACACAUGCAAGUCGAACGAGACCUUCGGGUCUAGUGGCGCACGGGUGCGUAACGCGUGGGAAUCUGCCCUUGGGUGCGGAAUAACUUCUCGAAAGGGAUGCUAAUACCGCAUAAUGUCGUAAGACCAAAGAUUUAUCGCCCAAGGAUGAGCCCGCGUAAGAUUAGCUAGUUGGUGGGGUAAAAGCCUACCAAGGCGACGAUCUUUAGCUGGUCUGAGAGGAUGAUCAGCCACACUGGGACUGAGACACGGCCCAGACUCCUACGGGAGGCAGCAGUGGGGAAUAUUGGACAAUGGGCGAAAGCCUGAUCCAGCAAUGCCGCGUGAGUGAUGAAGGCCCUAGGGUUGUAAAGCUCUUUUACCAGGGAUGAUAAUGACAGUACCUGGAGAAUAAGCUCCGGCUAACUCCGUGCCAGCAGCCGCGGUAAU
rnacentral:rRNA from 1 species